UACAGAGGGGGCAAGCGUUGUUCGGAAUUACUGGGCGUAAAGGGCGCGUAGGCGGCCUGCUAAGUCGAACGUGAAAUCCCUGGGCUCAACCCAGGAACUGCGUCCGAUACUGGUUGGCUUGAAUCCGGGAGAGGGAUGUGGAAUUCCAGGUGUAGCGGUGAAAUGCGUAGAUAUCUGGAGGAACACCGAUGGCGAAGGCGACAUCCUGGACCGAUAUUGACGCUGAGGCGCGAAAGCCAGGGGAGCAAACGGG
rnacentral:rRNA from 1 species